ACCUGUUAACAAAUGUGAUGAAAGCACAAACCGCCCAGCGCGUCGAAACACCCUCACAGAAAGACCGCCGAACCGGACAAAGCCUCUCGUCACUGAGCUCAGUGGCCGCGCGAGCCGCUAUUUAUGCAGCGUCUGUUGCGUGACUGCUCACUCCUACGUAGCUGUUGUCUUCCUGCGCCACCGAAAGUAGUUCCGCGGGCCCCCACCUCCCCCAGACCAAUUAGGCGUUUUUGCCGAGCUCCCGAUUCUUCAGAACCAAAGAAAAGAGUACUACCAAACGAGAGACACUGUAUUCCCGGCGUCUCGUCUCCUCUCGUGCAAAAAAUUGAAAAAAUCAUCACGCGGAUGAAUCCAAGUUAAAGGGCCCUCCCUCGAAAGCUCUGGAAACCUCCUUGCGGCGCCAGCGCUGAUUGGUGAGGAGUCAAAGAUGAGGCCGACGCUGAUUGGUGGAGGUCGCGGGCCGCUCGAUUGUUGCUGGGCUCGGUUCUCGGGCAGUUUAACGUCGACGUUGCUAAGUAACCGAGUGCGCAUGUGCGGGCGCUCGCCUUAGCGAAAUACUGAUGUUUCCUGCUUGAGGUGGGGGAGGGGCGUCUUCUCUUCCCGCGUCCGGAACCCCGCGUCCCGAGUUCCCCGUGGUUCUCUCGCACCCAUCGCUCGGCGGCUUUACGCCACAGGGAAGCAUGAGUCGGACCUUGUUUCAACAAGCAGAGUAUGUCUGAGUCAGACAUUUUGAGGCACAGACUCAGCCAGAGUGCUGAUCUUAUGAUUGAUGCGAUGACUUCAUUGGGGUAAGUUCCAGCAAUUGCCAGACGGGUUAUUGCUUCCUAGUUUGUUUUGUUUUCAAAGUAGAUCGUUUGGUGACUUCAACCCAGUAAUAAUAUUUCAAAAGAAUGGCAUCUGGACAAGAUAGAUUUUUUUUUCCGUAGCAUAGUUUUUGUUGCUUGUGCUGUGUUCACC
rnacentral:lncRNA from 1 species